GAGUUUGAUCGUGGCUCAGGAUGAACGCUGGCGGCGUGCCUAAUACAUGCAAGUCGAGCGAACGGACGAGAAGCUUGCUUCUCUGAUGUUAGCGGCGGACGGGUGAGUAACACGUGGAUAACCUACCUAUAAGACUGGGAUAACUUCGGGAAACCGGAGCUAAUACCGGAUAAUAUUUUGAACCGCAUGGUUCAAAAGUGAAAGACGGUCUUGCUGUCACUUAUAGAUGGAUCCGCGCUGCAUUAGCUAGUUGGUAAGGUAACGGCUUACCAAGGCAACGAUGCAUAGCCGACCUGAGAGGGUGAUCGGCCACACUGGAACUGAGACACGGUCCAGACUCCUACGGGAGGCAGCAGUAGGGAAUCUUCCGCAAUGGGGGAAAGCCUGACGGAGCAACGCCGCGUGAGUGAUGAAGGUCUUCGGAUCGUAAAACUCUGUUAUUAGGGAAGAACAUAUGUGUAAGUAACUGUGCACAUCUUGACGGUACCUAAGUCAGAAAGCCACGGCUAACUACGUG
rnacentral:rRNA from 1 species